AUACGUAGGUGACAAGCGUUAUCCGGAUUUACUGGGCGUAAAGGGCGUGUAGGCGGUCUUGCAAGUCAGAAGUGAAAUUCCUGAGCUCAACUCGGGCGCUGCUUCUGAAACUGCAGGACUUGAGUGCUGGAGGGGAUAGCGGAAUUCCUAGUGGAGCGGUAAAAUGCGCAGAUAUUAGGAAGAACACCGGUGGCGAAGGCGGCUAUCUGGACAGUAACUGACGCUGAGGCGCGAAAGCGUGGGGAGCAAAAAGGAAUAGAUACCCUGGUAGACCACGCCGUAAACGAUGAAUACUAGGUUUAGGGGGUAUCGACUCCCUCUGUGCCGCAGUUAACACAAUAAGUAUUCCGCCUGGGGAGUACGGCCGCAAGGUUGAAACUCAAAUGAAUUGACGGGG
rnacentral:rRNA from 1 species